UACAGAGGGUGCUAGCGUUAAUCGGAUUUACUGGGCGUAAAGCGUGUGUAGGCGGUUCGUUAAGUCGGAUGUGAAAGCCCUGGGCUCAACCUAGGAAUUGCAUUCGAUACUGGCGAGCUAGAGUACGGUAGAGGGCGGCGGAAUUCCGGGUGUAGCGGUGAAAUGCGUAGAGAUCGGGAGGAACACCAGUGGCGAAGGCGGCUCGCUGGGCCGGACCUGACGCUGAGACGCGAAGGCGUGGGGAGCGAACGGG
rnacentral:rRNA from 1 species